CUAAUUGCAGCUUUGCUGAUCCUACACCAUUUGCCUGACCUGAUUCCAGAUCCUUCUGAGGGUAACAUCUUCCACUCCCGCGGACUAGAUCCUUUAUUUUUUUCAUGAGGUCUUUAUCGUCAAGCAAGGAUUCCAUCGUCACAUGUACACCUGAGAGCAAAGAAGAGUAAGAACAAGAUGGAAAAAAAAAAUCUCCUAUCAUCAGUAUGUAGCAAAAUUGCCCUAUCAGUUGACGGUAGAGUAAGCCAUUGGAACAAAAAUGUAAACAAAUUGCUAGUGAAGCUUUGUUGCACUUCUAUCCACAUUGAUGUCUUUGAUAAGUUCACCGCAAUAUGCUCCACAAACAAUUAAAUUCAAAUUUGAAACUAGAUUUACAGUAUUAGUUUAAAUUAAUAUGUGCAGCCCUGCAUGCACUAUUUAACAGACAAAUUCACGUUGUCAUCCUUUUUAUCUCAUUAUAUUUGCAGUAGCUUGUUUCAUGUAACACCAGCAGCCACAAGCAAGAGCAACGUAUUCUAUAUGAAUCAAGCAUUCCUACCUGAAGGACACUGCAAAAGAAGACAUUCAUCAUAGAGAACAUUGCAGAUCUUUCCAAAUUUGCUAUCAGCAAAAGCAGCCAAAACUCUUAAAACUUCUAUCCUAUUGUAUUGAAGAGUCGCCUUGAAAGCCAAGGAGAAUAUACUAGUUACAAAAAGUAUGUUCUGUACCGGUCUAUACUGUGGUAAAAGUUUGCCAGUUCUGCAUAGAUACACUUUUAGCAUCUUAAAUUGCACUUCUACCAAU
rnacentral:lncRNA from 1 species